UACGUAGGGAGCAAGCGUUGUCCGGAAUCAUUGGGCGUAAAGCGCGCGUAGGUGGCCCGAUAAGUCCGCUGUAAAAGUCAACGGCUCAACUGUUGAAAGCCGGUGGAUACUGUCGGGCUAGAGUACGGAAGAGGCAAGUGGAAUUCCUGGUGUAGCGGUGGAAUGCGCAGAUAUCAGGAGGAACACCUAUAGCGAAGGCAGCUUGCUGGGACGUUACUGACGCUAAGGCGCGAAAGCGUGGGGAGCGAACAGG
rnacentral:rRNA from 1 species